GGGUGAGUAACGCGUAGGAAUCUACCCAGUAGAGGGGGAUAGCCCGGGGAAACCCGGAUUAAUACCGCAUACGCCCACUGGGGAAAGCGGGGGAUCCGCACUAUUGGAGGAGCCUGCCUUGGAUUAGCUUGUUGGUGAGGUAAAGGCUCACCAAGGCGAUGAUCCAUAACUGGUCUGAGAGGACGAUCAGCCACACUGGGACUGAAACACGGCCCAUACUCCUACGGGAGGCAGCAGUAGGGAAUAUUGUGCAAUGGGGGAAACCCUGACACAGCCAUGCCGCGUGUGUGAAGAAGGCCCUAGGGUUGUAAAGCACUUUCAGUAGCAAGGAAUCCGUUAACUACAGAAGAAGUACCGGCUAACUCCGUGCCAGCAGCCGCGGUAAUACGGAGGGUACGAACGUUAAUCGGAAUUACUGGGCGUAAAGAGCACGUAGGUGGUUUAUUAAGUGGGAUGUGAAAGCCCCGGGCUUAACCUGGGAA
rnacentral:rRNA from 1 species